GACGUACGCUGGCGGCGUGCUUAACACAUGCAAGUCGAACGGAAAGGCCCUGCUUUUGUGGGGUGCUCGAGUGGCGAACGGGUGAGUAACAAGUGAGUAACCUGCCCUUGACUUUGGGAUAACUUCAGGAAACUGGGGCUAAUACCGGAUAGGAGCUCCUGCUGCAUGGUGGGGGUUGGAAAGUUUCGGCGGUUGGGGAUGGACUCGCGGCUUAUCAGCUUGUUGGUGGGGUAGUGGCUUACCAAGGCUUUGACGGGUAGCCGGCCUGAGAGGGUGACCGGCCACAUUGGGACUGAGAUACGGCCCAGACUCCUACGGGAGGCAGCAGUGGGGAAUAUUGCACAAUGGGCGGAAGCCUGAUGCAGCAACGCCGCGUGCGGGAUGACGGCCUUCGGGUUGUAAACCGCUUUCGCCUGUGACGAAGCGUGAGUGACGGUAAUGGGUAAAGAAGCACCGGCUAACUACGUG
rnacentral:rRNA from 1 species